CAGUCGCCACGGGAAUACGUAGGUGGCAAGCGUUGUCCGGAAUUAUUGGGCGUAAAGGGCUCGCAGGCGGUUUCUUAAGUCUGAUGUGAAAGCCCCCGGCUCAACCGGGGAGGGUCAUUGGAAACUGGGAAACUUGAGUGCAGAAGAGGAGAGUGGAAUUCCACGUGUAGCGGUGAAAUGCGUAGAGAUGUGGAGGAACACCAGUGGCGAAGGCGACUCUCUGGUCUGUAACUGACGCUGAGGAGCGAAAGCGUGGGGAGCGAACAGGAUUAGAUACCCGUGUAGUCCCUGUCUCUUAUAA
rnacentral:rRNA from 1 species